GUCAGCACCUCUUCUUGAAAGAAGAGGCUUAGGGCUCUUUUCUUUGAUAGCUGACCAGCUUAAGUUCCUCUCACGGGGCUACGUUUAGGGGAAGCGUUAAAAGUCCUACCUUAGAAUGCGAAGCCAGUUCUAAGCUCUAGA
rnacentral:sRNA from 18 species